rnacentral:tmRNA from 1 species
GGGGAUGUAUAUAUUCGACGGGAAGACUCUAGCUAAAGAGCAAGCCGGUGUCGAUCGGGACCACCGUUAAAAUUCCGAUCAACCUAAUAAAUGCCAACAAAGCAUUUUCCGCUCAAUACGCAGUAGCGUAAUGAGCCGUCUUGUCGUUUCUCUAUCUUAGCGGAGAUGGCAAGGCGCAACCCUUGCUAAGAGGCUUUUUGUAGAACCGGUUCUUCUAUGGAAAGUUAGACUUGCGACCUAGGUUUAGGCUGGCUCGUCAACUAGUAGGCCUAAACUGAAAUUAAAUGUUGACUAAGCUUGUAGUUUCUCUAGUAAGUUAUCUUUUCGGACCCCGGGGAAGAGCCGGGCAUCUCCACCA